GGAAGUAGAAAAUUAAUAAAAGAAAAACUAAAAGUACAUAUUGCGGAUUACUCUCCAAAAUCAAGCAUAAAAAUUGAGGGAUGCUGAAUCUGGCCUAGUACUUGUAGUCUUUGACAUGGAGGCUCUCAGAGGCACCCUCACUCACUGCACCACCCUGGUAAGUUCCAAGGGUUGCUUCGGAAUUGGCCUUGCACCUAGCAAGGAAUGCAGCCUGAGCCUUCCCAAUGUUUUCGUCUUUUCCAGCCCAAGCCUUGAGGGUGCUCUGCUGCAAGGCACGCCCAAAGGAGAAAGAAAGAGACCAUGGCUUCUUGGUCUUAAGUUUGUUCAUCGCAUCAAGAUUGCGUGUUGCCUCCUCUUCGCUCUGCCCACCAGACAAAAACACCACAGCAGGAACUGCAGCAGGCAUUGUGCGUUGCAGGG
rnacentral:lncRNA from 1 species